AGUCACUGACAUUAGAUACCCGUGUAGUCCCAGCCGUAAACUAUGCGCGUUAGGUGUACUGGUGACCACGAGUCACCGGGGUGCCGAAGGGAAACCGUGAAACGUGCCGCCUGGGAAGUACGGUCGCAAGACUGAAACUUAAAGGAAUUGGCGGGGAGCACCACAACACGUGGAGCCUGCGGUUUAAUUGGAUUCAACGCCGGACAUCUCACCAGAGGCGACAGCUGUAUGAUAGCCAGGUUGAUGGCUUUGCUUGACUAGCUG
rnacentral:rRNA from 1 species